AUUGAACGCUGGCGGCAGGCUUAACACAUGCAAGUCGAACGCGAAAGUCCCUUCGGGGAUGAGUAGAGUGGCGUCCGGGUGAGUAGCGCGUGGGUAAUCUACCUUUGGGUGGGGAAUAACCCAGGGAAACUUGGGCUAAUACCGCAUAAUGCAGCGGCUCGACAUCGAGACAGUUGUUAAAGCAGCAAUGCGCCUGAAGAGGAGCCUGCGUCUGAUUAGCUUGUUGGUGAGGUAAUGGCUCACCAAGGCUACGAUCAGUAGCUGGUCUGAGAGGACGGCCAGCCACAAUGGAACUGAACCACGGGCCAUACUCCUACGGGAGGCAGCAGUGGGGAAUUUUGCGCAAUGGGCGAAAGCCUGACGCAGCAACGCCGAGUGAAGGAUGAAAUCCCUCGGGAUGUAAACUUCGCAAGUAUGGGAAGAAAAAAAUGACGGUACCAUAUGUAAGCCCCGGCUAACUCCGUGCCAGCCGCCGCGGUAAUAC
rnacentral:rRNA from 1 species